rnacentral:rRNA from 1 species
UGCAAGUUCGAGCGGACAGAUGGGAGCUUGCUCCCUGAUGUUAGCGGCGGACGGGUGAGUAACACGUGGGUAACCUGCCUGUAAGACUGGGAUAACUCCGGGAAACCGGGGCUAAUACCGGAUGGUUGUUUGAACCGCAUGGUUCAAACAUAAAAGGUGGCUUCGGCUACCACUUACAGAUGGACCCGCGGCGCAUUAGCUAGUUGGUGAGGUAACGGCUCACCAAGGCAACGAUGCGUAGCCGACCUGAGAGGGUGAUCGGCCACACUGGGACUGAGACACGGCCCAGACUCCUACGGGAGGCAGCAGUAGGGAAUCUUCCGCAAUGGACAAAAGUCUGACGGAGCAACGCCGCGUGAGUGAUGAAGGUUUUCGGAUCGUAAAGCUCUGUUGUUAGGGAAGAACAAGUACCGUUCGAAUAGGGCGGUACCUUGACGGUACCUAACCAGAAAGCCACGGCUAACUACGUGCCAGCAGCCGCGGUAAUACGUAGGUGGCAAGCGUUGUCCGGAAUUAUUGGGCGUAAAGGGCUCGCAGGCGGUUUCUUAAGUCUGAUGUGAAAGCCCCCGGCUCAACCGGGGAGGGUCAUUGGAAACUGGGGAACUUGAGUGCAGAAGAGGAGAGUGGAAUUCCACGUGUAGCGGUGAAAUGCGUAUAGAUGUGUACAAACACCAAUGGCGAAAGCGACUCUCUGGUGUGUAGCUGACGCUCAGGAGGGAAAAAGUGUGGAGCGGCCACCAUGACAAAUGCUGUUAGUCCACCCGCCCAAACAAUUAAUAGCGGCCAAGUGGGAGGGGGGCUUCCCCCCCCCUAAGGGCGGGAUCCCACGAUUUACACAACCCCCCCGGGGGAGGGCGGGGGGGAGAUAGAAAACCAAAAGAAAAAUGGGGGGGGGCGCGCAAAUACGGGGGGAAAUUGGGGGUUAAUUUCGAACCCCCCCGAAAAAACCUCGCGAGGGGGGGGCAUCCUCCGGACAACCCUUAGAAUGGAGCUCCCCCUUGGGG